UACGUAGGUGGCAAGCGUUGUCCGGAUUUAUUGGGUUUAAAGGGUGCGUAGGCGGUCCUAUAAGUCAGUGCUGAAAUAUCCCGGCUUAACCGGGAGGGUGGCAUUGAUACUGCAGGACUUGAGUAAAGUUGAGGUAGGCGGAAUUGACGGUGUAGCGGUGAAAUGCUUAGAUAUCGUCAAGAACACCGAUAGUGAAGACAGCUUACUAGACUUUAACUGACGCUGAGGCGCGAAAGUGUGGGGAGCAAACAGG
rnacentral:rRNA from 1 species